rnacentral:rRNA from 1 species
CAAUAGCGUAUAUUAAAGUUGUUGCAGUUAAAAAGCUCGUAGUUGGAUUUCGGGGCAGCCUGGCUGGUCCGCCGCAAGGCGAGUACUGGUCAGCCGCCCUUCCUCUCGAAAGCCCCGACUGCUCUUCGUUGCAGUGGUCGGGUAGUUCGGGACGUUUACUUUGAAAAAAUUAGAGUGUUCAAGGCAGGCCUACGCCUGAAUACAUUAGCAUGGAAUAAUGGAAGAGGACCUCGGUCCUAUUUUGUUGGUUUCCAGGGCCGAAGUGAUGAUUAAGAGGGACAGUUGGGGGCAUUCGUAUUUAAUUGUCAGAGGUGAAAUUCUCGGAUUUAUGAAAGACGAACAACUGCGAAAGCAUUUGCCAAGGAUGUUUUCAUUAA